rnacentral:rRNA from 1 species
UGCGCNCCUANCAUGCAAGUCGAGCGGGUGCAGUAGCAAUACUGUAUCAGCGGCGGACGGGUGAGUAACGCGUGAGUAAUCUGCCCUGUACAGCGGGAUACCAGCCAGAAAUGGUUGUUAAUACCGCAUAAGACCACACUUUGGCAUCUAAGUGGGGUAAAAGGGUUACCGGUACAGGAUGAGCUCGCGUUUCAUUAGCUAGUUGGCGGUGUAACAGACCACCAAGGCGACGAUGGAUAGCCGGCCUGAGAGGGCGAACGGCCACACUGGAACCGAGAGACGGUCCAGACUCCUACGGGAGGCAGCAGUGGGGAAUAUUGGGCAAUGGGCGAAAGCCUGACCCAGCAAUGCCGCGUGAAUGAAGAAGGUUUUCGGAUUGUAAAGUUCUGUCGCAGGGGACGAAGAAUGACGGUACCCUGUAAGAAAGCCCCGGCAAACUACGUGCCAGCAGCCGCGGUAAUACGUAGGGGGCAAGCGUUGUCCGGAAUGACUGGGCGUAAAGGGAGCGUAGGCGGUUUUUUAAGUUGGCUGUGAAAGCCCUGGGCUUAACCCGGGAAUUGCAGCCAAAACUGGAGAACUGGAGUGUGGGAGAGGAAAGUGGAAUUCCUAGUGUAGCGGUGGAAUGCGUAGAUAUUAGGAGGAACACCAGUGGCGAAGGCGACUUUCUGGACCAUAACUGACGCUGAGGCUCGAAAGCGUGGGGAGCAAACAGGAUUAGAUACCCUGGUAGUCCACGCCCUAAACGAUGAUUACUAGAUGAAGGCGGUAUCGACUCCGCCCUGUGUCGCAGCAAACGCGUUAAGUAAUCCGCCUGGGGAGUACGGNCCNCNAGGUUGAAACUCAAAAGGAAUUGACGGGGAACCCGCACAAGCAGCGGAACCAUGUGGUUUUAAUUCCGAAAGCUUACNCNGAAGAAACCUUUACCAAGGCNUUGGACNAUCCCUCUUGAACCCCCCANUUAAAAAAUACUGUUUUUCCCACCAAUUGGAACAAAAAAAAACCCGGNGGGGUGCCAUGGGUUUGUCCNUNNNGCCUUCNGUGUCCNUGGANAAU